UGACUUUACGGUAUACAUAUUUAAAGCAUUUCUAGCCAUUUUAGAGCUUGUAUUGGGGAAUGCCCCAGCACGAUUCUGCCUCUCUUUCUGGCUUUCUGGUCGUAUUAUUCCCGCUCCCUCUCUGUCUAUCUCGCAUGUGUGUUUGCAGUGACUUGGGCGCAGUUUAAUGCACUCUACACAGUUGAUAUGCCUCCCAUUUUGCCGCCCGAAACCAACUUCGCCCCCUUUAUUGUCCAAGCACAGCAGGCUUUUGUUAGCAUAUGCCAGUUUUUUCCUGUUUUUUUUUUCUGUUAUUUUGUCAUGUUCUCUCGCUUUUACUAGGGAGUUCCCUUUGGUCCUUUAUCAUCAUCGUUUUGGCAUUGUUGUUUUAAAGGAUCUGCCUACAUUUGUUGCUAGCAUUGCAAAUAGUCAACUCAUCAGACCCUUAGAAAGGAUACCAUUCCAUCUCGCUCUGGCCUGAAUGCUCUCUCUCGCUCUCUUUUGCCGUCUAUUGUUUAAAAAGCUCAAUGGGCUUUCCACUAUCAAAAAGCUCAAUUCCUGAACUAGACUUGCUCUUUGACUGUGUGUGUCCUUUGCAGGAAAGGAGCGGGUUUUGUUGUCCACUUAGGAGUUUCGACCGACUUCCACAUGGACUUGUUGAUGAUGGGCAAUCCCAACUUUUGAAACGUGAAAGUCAAGUUGAUGACUAGGAUGCUCUGUGCUCUUAGGCAAUAUAAACAUCUGUGGCAGUGCAUUUACUAUAUUCUAUAAGUCCAGCACUCACUCUUCAAUCGCAUUCGAUUCGUAAAGAUUUUGAACUCACCUGCAAAGAGAAGAAGUGAAUUCGAUUUAAUAUUAGAUGACACAGCUAGAAAGCGAUAAAUAGCGAUCAACAAUUUGCAAGCCAAAUGUAAGCCAAGAGGCAACGAAACGAAGGAAAGAAGCGAAACAAAAGCCAAAGGCAAUGUGGGAAGUCGAAUGGCAGAAUGAGAGGAAAAGAGCGACAGAUGGUGACGCAAAGCCAAUCCAAUACAAAAAAAAAAAACUGAGAAAAACAAAUAAAAACAAUUCAAAAUAAAGCAAAAA